UACGGGGGGGCAAGCGUUGUUCGGAAUUACUGGGCGUAAAGGGCUCGUAGGUGGCCAACUUAAGUCAGACGUGAAAUCCCUCGGCUUAACCGGGGAACUGCGUCUGAUACUGGAUGGCUUGAGCGCGGGAGAGGAAAGCGGAAUUCCUGGUGUAGCGGUGAAAUGCGUAGAUAUCAGGAGGAACACCUGUGGUGUAGACGGCUUUCUGGACCGUAGCUGACGCUGAGACACGAAAGCGUGGGUAGCAAACAGG
rnacentral:rRNA from 1 species